AAUGAACGCUGGCGGCAUGCCUAACACAUGCAAGUCGAACGAGACCUUCGGGUCUAGUGGCGCACGGGUGCGUAACGCGUGGGAAUCUGCCCUUGGGUUCGGAAUAACAGUUAGAAAUGACUGCUAAUACCGAAUGAUGUCGUAAGACCAAAGAUUUAUCGCCCAGGGAUGAGCCCGCGUAGGAUUAGCUAGUUGGUGUGGUAAAAGCGCACCAAGGCGACGAUCCUAGCUGGUCUGAGAGGAUGAUCAGCCACACUGGGACUGAGACACGGCCCAGACUCCUACGGGAGGCAGCAGUGGGGAAUAUUGGACAAUGGGCGAAAGCCUGAUCCAGCAAUGCCGCGUGAGUGAUGAAGGCCUUAGGUUGUAAAGCUCUUUUACCCGGGAUGAUAAUAGACAGUACCGGGAGAAUAAGCUCCGGCUAACUCCGU
rnacentral:rRNA from 1 species